rnacentral:lncRNA from 1 species
CUGUGGAGCUUGGGAUGGUGUGUGCCGUGGCUGCUGCUCUUGGUCUGCGCCGUGUGGGCGCUGAACCACGCGUGGUGGAGGCCCAGGCGACAGGACCGCUUGCUCCGGGCGCAGGGACUCCAAGGCACUCCUUACCGCUUCCUCCGCGGCGACCUCAAGGAGGACAAGCGCCUCCUCGAGGAGGCGCUCUCCAAGCCCAUGCCCCUCUCCCACCACAUCGUCCCUCGCGUCGAGCCUUUCCUCCACGCCGCUAUGAACGAUCUCGGCAAGUGCUCUCGGCCGCUGCUGUCUCCCUCCCCCUUCUCCUCCUUUUGCUUUGCCAACUCUCAGUUGUUUCAGGAAGCUGUUCGAUUCCAUCACCAACUGAUCGAUUGAGAAAUCACUCCAUGCACUGAACGAGAUGAAACAAAUACUACAUAUCAUUUCAUUGAUUUUAGUAGGCAUAUAUACUUUCUUGAGGCAGACAAUUGACCUUCUUUAAAUUUCCAACUUGAGAACAGAAAUCAAGUGUGAGCCAUGCGCUGAUUUGUGAGCGAAGUCUUAUACGAUGUUAAGAACAAAUCUGUAGUCUCAAAUGCAGGCAGCAGAUUCUUCAGCUGGAUUGGACCAGUGCCACGAGUGAUGAUCAUGGACCCGGAAUUGGUGAGGGAAAUCCUAUCGAACAAGUUUGGUCAUUUUGAUCGAGCAAGUCUAAGCCCCCUCGGACGAGCUUUAGGUACUGGUCUUUUAAGCUAUAAUAGGGGAAAGUGGGCCAAACACAGGAGGAUUCUGAACCCUGCUUUCCAUGUCGAGAAGUUAAAGGUAAUCAAUCAUCCAUGGUUCUCUCCUUUGGACACAUCUCAAUCUUAACUUGCGGCGGAUACGAUUUUAGAUAAUUCAAAUGCCUCAUAAUUUGUUGUAAUUCGCAGCGGAUGUUGCCGGCGUUCUCUACUUCUUGUGGUGAUCUCGUCGGCAGAUGGGAGAAUUUGGUCGGCCAGGAGGGAUCCUGUGAAUUAGAUGUUUGGCCUGAGUUCCAAUACUUCACUGGAGACGUCAUUUCACGAGCAGCUUUCAGCAGCAACUACGAAGAAGGUAGACGAAUUUUCCAACUCCAACUCGAGCUCGCUCAACUCGUCGUUCAGGCUAUCCACAGUGCUUAUAUCCCGGGUUACAGGUGAGCUCCUUCUGUGUCCAUGUUCCAGUCGAAGAACAACGAAGACUAUAUGGCUCUGGAUACUCUUUAACUUGCAAAUAUUAGAAUUCUUGCAAUUACUGACUCUAAUUGCUGCUUUGUACGUGGCACAGAUUUCUGCCUACCCCAAUGAAUAACAGAAUAAAAGCGAUCAAUAAAGAGAUUCGAUCACUUCUACGAGGUAUAAUAAGGAAGAGAGAGGAAGCUAUGAAAACUGGUGAAGCAAGCGGGCAAGAUCUCUUGGGCUUGUUGAUGGAGUCCAAUAUCAAGCAAUUCCAGGAGCAUGGGAACAAGAAUGCUGGGAUGACCAUCGAUGAAGUGGUUGAUGAAUGCAAGCUAUUCUACUUUGCAGGGCAAGAAACGACUGCUAUCUUGCUAACAUGGACGAUGGUGGUUUUAAGCAUGCACCCCGAAUGGCAAGCAAGGGCUAGAGAAGAGGUCCUGCAGGUCCUCGGGAAAGACAAACCAGAGAUCGAUGGCUUGAACCGUUUAAAGAUCGUGAGUGCUCUGCCAUUACGCUAAUCAGCUUUCUUUUAGGUAAAAUGCAGAGUCUAAAUAAUUGCUGUGGCAGGUGACGAUGAUACUAUACGAGGUUCUUCGGUUGUACCCACCGCUGCUACACAUCCAGAGGAGAACAUACAAGACGGUGGAAAUCGGAAACGUAUCGUACCCACCAGGAACACUGCUCGCAUUGCCCAUAGUAUUCCUUCACCAUGACCAAAUCUUGUGGGGCGAAGAUGCAAGCGAGUUCAAACCGGAGAGAUUCGCACAAGGGAUAGCGAAGGCAUCGAGAGAUCAGAUUGCUUUCUUUCCGUUCGGCGGCGGUCCUCGCGUUUGCAUCGGUCAAAAUUUUGCGUUGCUGGAAGCUAAGAUGGGAUUGAGUGCGAUUCUUCAAAGAUUUUGGUUUGAGCUCUCACCAUCGUAUGCUCAUGCUCCACUCAAUGUCCGCACACUUCAUCCUCAACAUGGUGCUCAAUUGAGGUUGCACAAACUUGGAGUCGUCUCAUAACGAGGGGAAUCUCACUUGGGAGAUUUUGGUUUUACGAUGCUUUAGUGCUUUUUAUCUACUGCAUAAUGUAAUAGACAAUUUGUAGUUUCGAUUAUAAAAAUGAAGUGAUGGUUAAUAUGGAGCAAUGUUUUUGUAAUUUAAGACUAAAGCUUGUAAAACUAAUUUACCACUUCAAAUUUACACACCAGAGAAAAUACUCUUAUCGUUUAUCUUUUUGCACCCAUAGACAUAUUUAAUAUAUUUAAUCAAAUUGUCAAAGGUUUGGUUUACACAUUAGCAUCACGUAUAGCUAAUGUGUUAUUAUUUUAGUUGCCAAUGUCAUGCGCUACUCAAUAAUAAUUUUAUUUUUACAUUAGCAUAUCAUCGAUUGAUUGAUUGAUGAACAACAUGAUUAAUUGAUGAGUGUUCUAAUGUCUCUUAUGAGCAAUUACAAUCAACAAAUGUAAUCACCUUAUAACGACUACCAAAGUUUUACUAUAAAAUGGGUUAUUUGACUAAUUUAGAUUGUCCCAAACUAAUACUAAUUUGAGCGUAAGGAGGAGCAUCGUUAACACUGUCCCUGACUAAGUUUUAAAGGGUGGGGCGUCAAAAACAAACUAAAAAAGAAAUCAAGUUAAAUUCAUAUUGGCUUCCAACUCAAAGAACUCAAAAAUCGACUCUAAUAGAACCAAAUCUAAGCUUUACAAAAAUUCUAAACACUAUUUAUUGUCUUUCUAAGUAGAUCUAUAUAAGCUACUCAUUAUCAUUAAAAAAAUAAAAUGGAUAUAAGCAAAUCAUUCCUCAAUAAACACAAAUUAUCGAUAUCAAUGUUUAAUCUCCAUUGGUAUGGCCCAGAUUAUAACUAUACUAAACAAAUAAUUAAAAUAUCAUAUAAUAUAUUAUAAAAUGUAUCAAAUGUUAAAUAUUUUAAAGAUUUCUUUACAAAAUACUUUGAGUCUAGUCAGAAUCAUAUAGCAUUACCAAAACUAAUUUUGCAAAAGGCUUUACCAUAUUUUUGAACCAUAAAACAUUUUGAAAUCAAUAAGUGUUUCAAAUAGUAUUUACAAAAUAUAUUUUUUUUACUAAUUGAAAACAUACAUAAUAUUUUUCUUAUUUUUUUAAUAAUGAAAUAUUUUGUAAGUCAACCAAAAACUAUAUAAGUCAUAAACAUAUAAAUUAUUACUUGAACAUAAAUUAGAUCAGAUACAACUUAGUCGUAGAUAAUCAAAAUUAACACAAUAUAUAUUUUUUUUUUAUAGAUUCCUGCUCAAAUUAUUAUCGUUGUCGAAUCUAUUAUAGUACCAUAAGAUCACUUUCGCAGAUGAUCAAGAGAUCACAUACAUAAUAUUUUAUUCAAACAAUCAUACACAUUGUAAUAUAUUAUAUUAUUCAGUGUCAUAAGAUCACUUUCGUUGAGGAUCAUAAGAUCACAUAAAUAAUAUUCUAUUUAAGUAAUCAUACACAUGUAUAAUCUAUUAUAUGAUUGAGUGAUAAUAAGGUUUUCAGUUAUCAACAAGAAAAAUCUUUAAGAAACCAAUCAUAAUUUAUCAAUAGGUAAAAUCCAAAUAUCUCAUCUUGUCCUUACUAGUGGUUUAUAUUUUGAAAUCGCUGUUUAUAGUAACAAAAUAAUCUUCUAGUUUCAAUGUUGAAUUGAAAUAAUCUUUUUAAUAAAAUUUAAAAAUAAUUUAUAGUAAUAAAAUAAUCAUAAUUUGUUUCUCAAUUUUCAUAAAGACAUUAAAAAGGAAUAUCUUUUACCCACUAAAAUGGGAAUAAAUUCCUCCCAAUAAUAAUUAUACUAAUAAUCAUAUUUAAUAAUCAAUAGGUCCCAUAGCGAGUCAUGUUACCCUCACAAAGAACAAUAUUUUUUUAUACAUCAUUAAUUGUCAGACCUAAACUCAAAGCUAGCUAACAACUUCAUGUGCAAUCUAAUCUUGUCUAGGCUUUGUCCGGUACUAGAUAACUUCAUAAUAAAUCUCAUAAAAUAUCAAUUAAUUUUUGUAAAUCAUUGGUAAAAUGAAAUCAUAAAAAAAUUAGUAUCAUUAAAAUCCUUCAAAACCAAUAAUAUCACACUUAUUUCAUAAAUAGAAAAUAUGAUUUUUAAAGUGAAUGAAAUUCAAUAGAAAAUUCAAUCAUUCAAUCGAAUCAUAUGAUAUAAAAUAAUAUUAAAAUUAGACUUAAAACAAAGAAAUACAAUGAAUUUAUAAACUAAUCCCUAGAGUUUACAAAUUGAUCUCUAUUCUUUACGCAUCAAGUCAUGGAUAUAUCAAUUAGAUCCUUAAAACUUUAUAAAAAAAUCAAGUUAUCUCUACUACCUAGGCUAACUUAAUCGGUUCUCACCUGAAUCAAGUUUAGCCAAAAUCGAUCACUCUUGGAUUCAUACCUGCUCGCUUGUUUCAAUCUAGUUGUAUUAGAUAGGUUUAUGGGAGCCUAUCGAUUGAACCUAAGUUGAGUUCAUAUGAGAGCCUAUGAAUUAGAUCGGAUUCAUAUGUUCAAGUUCACAUUAGAGGCUGACCUAACAAUCCUCCUUGUCCAUGUUUUUUAGUUUAAACAAAACCAUAUCAUCUAAAUUUGUGAAUAUCAUAAUAAAAUACUACUCUCAAAUAAUAUGAUAUACUAAUAAAUCACCAAUAUUGAUUGAUAAAAUUAUAUUUCUAAAAACAAGUCUUAAAUCAUAAUAUCAACUAGAAACACUAAUAAUCUUAAAAGAAAGCCACUAGUAGUUUGAAAAAAAAAAAUCAUAUUUCACAUAAUUUCCAAAAUCAUCUCCGAAUUAUAAUCUUCUCAAAUCAUCAAAAAAUAUAACCGAAUAAUUAUAGAAAAUAGAAAGGAAAUCCUUUCCAUAUCAUACCAUAGAUGAAUUUAGUAUAAUAUUUUAUAUAUUGAUAAUAAGAAUAGAAAAAUAAGAUGUUAAUGACACACGGACUAUAAUAUGAAAGGAUGAUAAUAAUUAAACAUAACUAUACAGAAAAAAAAAUGGAUCUCUAUGAUAUAAAGUUUUACCCUUAAGACGUCCCUUAGGAUUAGGUCAAGAAGGCUGCCCCCUAAGCAUCGAGCAUUAGUAUAUCAUGUCUUUAGUAUUAGUUAUAAAGUGUAUAUAUACUUUUAAGAGGGUGUUGUAAGCUACGGAAAGAAAGUUUUAUUGCUUUAAAAAUAAUUGCAUCAACUCGAUCGAUCCUCUACAUCCUAGAAUGAGGUCCCAACCUACUAAGAUACAAAACUAGUCAGAUGGACAAUCUCGAAGAUGCUAUAAAUAGAAGACAUAAAGAACAAGUCAAGUAGAUAGACCUGACGACUCAAACCAAUGCAAUAUGAGAUAGCAAGCUAUGCAUCGGGAUGAGAUAGUGAGUCAGCACUAUUGUCAAAAGGCAUUUUGGGCACUAUGAGAACAUGAUGAUCCUCAUGAUAAUCGAUAAUCGAUAAACGAAUCCUUCUCAAAUUCUAGUCUGUGGUACCUUAUCUUGAAAUGGACUAAGGUGAUGUAGUACCCGUACCGAUAUGAGAUGACCCUUGAUCUCUCUAAGCCCCUUUUAAAUCCAACGGAAGCCUUGUAGUUGGCAAUUUCCUUCUCUCGAUACCUUAGUAUCAUGGGUUUCUUGGCCUCCAACACCUCUUUCAAGCCUCGAACUUACUCGGUGAUACUCAUGAUUUAUUCAUUGGCCAUGGUAACUUGAUGAGCUUUGAGUUGUAUGUCCUCAUCGAAUCCAACUCUCAGGUAAGUCCCAAGAGCCUCUUAUCUACUUAACGUAAUCAGCAAGGUGUCACUUGACCUUCUCUAGUUGCCUCGUCAGCUUGGCCCCUCAAACCUCUAUCUCUCCAUUAGCUCCUCUACUUCUUCGUAAAAAGUAUCAAUUAUAUGAAUUAUUAGUGCAUCACGGAGUCCGCAUCACAUAUGUAAUCAACGUGGGUUGUGAUGUAAUGAUAAUACUACAAACAAAAAAUAAUGGGAUAAGUAAUAAAAAAAUAAAAUAACUAGCCAGAGCUUAAUUUACUAGUACUUCUAGGAUAACACAUGUUAAUUAAAAUCACCAAAGGGAAGUAGUAGAUAUGCUUCAUCACUCUUAAGCACACGGACCCUCGGUAGUAUUACUUCGCAAUAGUACUGUCACCCCCAUACUUUAUGCCCCUUUACAAACCCUCUCAUCUAAUAUAUAUAUAUAUAUAUAUAUGUGUGUGUGUACGGAACACGUGCAACAUGUGGUCGGCGACCGGGUGAGUCACCCGAGUGUGUCGCCAUUUCACCCAACCAAGAGAUAAAGUCGCGUUACAGCAGCCGGAUCCAUCACCAGACCGCUGCAGCCUUCUCCCUUGCUCUUUGAUGCAGAGCUCCAUGGCGCUGUCCGUAUUAGUGGAGAGGCUGUGGAGCUUGGGAUGGGGUGUGGCGUGGCUGCUGCUCUUGGUCUGCGCCGUGUGGGCGCUGAACCACGCGUGGUGGAGGCCCAGGCGACAAGACCGCUUGCUCCGGGCGCAGGGACUCCAAGGCACUCCUUACCGCUUCCUCCGCGGCGACCUCAAGGAGGGCAAGCGCCUCCUCGAGGAGGCGCUCUCCAAGCCCAUGCCCCUCUCCCACCACAUCAUCCCUCGCGUGGAGCCUUUCCUCCACGCCGCUAUGAACGAUCUCGGCA